ACUUUCCAUACUUGCAAAAUAAAUGGCGGAGUUGGCUCUCUUAUCCCGGUAUUUUUAAUUCACUCAAAACUCUGAUCAAUUGAAACAGGUUCACAUUAUCAUAUGCACCCUCAACAUCCAGAAAUACAGAGAUUGCAUUAGAGUGAGCAAAGAUAGAAUGUUUAAUGUCAGCAAUGAAUGAAACGAAGCCUUCUACUGCACUUUUACCUUUUCUGAAACCUAGUUGAUAAUCAGGUAGACAAUAUACACAUAGAAUAGUUAGAGGACCGACUUUUGUAUCAACAGAAAUAGCAAUCGUUUGAACAUCUUGGAAAUUUGGAGUUGAAAGUUGGACAUAUCUAUAGAACUUUUAAUUAAAAAGGCUACACCACCAUGUUCAUUUUCAGCAUUUGUAAAGAUAAAAUCAUACCUAGGCAUGUAAAAGUGUAACUGAGAACUUUUUAACCAUGUUUCAUUUAAUAAACAUAUAUCUAUUUCAUUAUCAAAUAAAAGUUUUUGUAACAAAGGUUUUUUAUUAUUAAUAUUUUGUAUAUUAUGUUGUACUAGUUUUAAACUAUCCAUUAUUCAGAUAAGUUUUUAAUAAAAAUUUCCUUAAUAUGA